rnacentral:tRNA from 1 species
GCCUGCAUGGCUCAGUCAGUUGAGUGUCUGACUUUGGCUCAGGUCAUGAUCUCAUGGUUCAUGGGUUCAAGCCCCAUGUCGGGCU